GAAUGUGAUUACAAUCAAUUGCAGACUGGAACUCAGUGGUUGUCUUCACUUUGAUAAUGUUGCUACGCCUUCGACAUUUAUCACAGUGAGAAAAUCUAAAUUUUUACACUGGAAACAUCCUUCUACAUGCACAAGGAGCGAAAAGAUAGCCUCUAGCCUGUUCUGAAGAUCAUGCGCUCGCCCCUAGUUGUCAAUCACCCUCUCUUCAAGUGAAUGUGGAUGAAGUGGAUUGGUCUUGACACACCUUGAGUGUAGGUGUUCGUGCUAAUCCAAUGAGUCUGAUGGACACUCGUUGGGACAUGUUGGGCAUCGCUUUGCUCUCUCGAAGUCAGAAUCUGCACACUGCAGACCGAACUCAGCGGAUACUUUCUUCUCAUCAUUAUCGUCCACAGCUCCUAAGGGAUAAGAGACCAAAAAUUCAACAGUACAAGAUAUCAACGUCCCUUGAACUUCAAAAAUUGUUCAAGUGAUACACAAAUUUACGAAUCAGUCAUGAAGAAUAAUGCUCAUACCUAUACUUGAUUCAAACAGCCUGUAUUCUUAACACUUCCAUCCCCGCGAACUCGAAACAUAAAUGUACUUAGGGAUAAUACAUUUUUUUUCCAAUUGGGAGCCACAAAAAAGUUUCACAGGGAAAUCGCUGGAAAGACCAUGCAACUGAAUACAUGACUUACGAUCUGUAACACAAAAAAGCACUAUAAGACAUAAUAUUAACGCUGCAAGGCUGUCCAAAUAUAAUAAUGGUUCAAUCUUCAAUCUGAACUCAUGUGCAAUUCAGUGAUAUAUCACACCCUGCAGACGAAAAGGUUAUAUUCUCCUUUAGGCAUCAAUUGCUUUAAUUCUAAGAACUGAAUUGACAGAUAUAAUUAUGUAUAUGAGAAUCCGUCACGGACACAGACUUGUGAUAUGCCCAUCUAAAGUGUCUCAUGGCUUCAAGUGGCCUUAAUUUAUGUCCAUAUUUACGACAGUCACGCUUCUAAUGCGUCCAGUCAAGAAUCAGGACAAUUUUAUCAUGAAAUGCAGAAAACCCACUCAUUGUGACUGCUAUCAGUCGAAAUUGUACACAAAAAUGCCCGCUCGGUGAGAGAUAAAGAGGCAGAGUUAUACAAAUGACACACCAGAACCUUCGAAGCCAACCUUGGUAUCGAAGAAUGAACGAUUCUGCAAAAUAUCCGGUACAACUGUCGAGCAUUGUUAGGCUGAUACCAACUGAACCAGGCUCAAAAUCCAUAUGCUGAUGAUGAAGAAGCUACUUGUAUCGAUAACAUCUACGAUGACAUUUUCGCAGUGUUUACAAUCUUUGCAUUACGAGCGCAUGAUCAAAGAUGCUAGCACGCUUCUUUCAAUACGAAGAAGAGGGAACUUCACGUCCUACCUCUGCAUCGGUGCGUGUGAACGCGGCAUCAAAAUGCUUGGAAGCCAGCAGUUUCAAAAGCAUUUCCUUACUCCUGCACAAAUUUCAUGCACUGAUAAGCUGAUAUACAAGAAAAAGCAUUAACUCCAAAAUAUCUCCGUGAUGGAUAUCUACUGUAGGAUAAAAGAUUAGAGGAAACUGUCUUUACAUUUACCCAAAAGGAACAGCAAUUCACAUGCAUGACAAAGUCGAAAUGUGCUAACAGAUAGAGCGAAAAGGUAUCGAUCACUUAGACAGAAAUCUACCAGCGGUUCACAGCAUGACCGGACCAUCAAACAAACCCUCGCCAUCUCCUCCAGAACGAUAAUAUUUUCGCUCGAAAUCUUGGAUAAUACAGUAAGGGUGGACCCACGAACAUCAGGACUAUGUAAAGAAAUGGGUCCAUGCCCAAGGAAAGAAAAGGCAAACAAGAAAAAAUUGCUUUCUGACAAGUAGUAGCAGAUGAUACUUGUUUACAGAGAUGCCAACCGGUCUUUAUAUCGUGUAUCCGUUACAUUGCGUGAGAGUAUCCCUGCUGCGUAUCGUCUCUAGAAACAUCAAUAUUUCGCCACGUCUGAAUAAAGUAGCAAUGGACGCCUCUCGAACCCGACGUGCAGCACAGCUACUUGUCCUCCUCGACGAGCUGCUGCUUCGUGUCCCACACUCGGUGCAAAACGAAUGCCACAAACUGUAUAUUCGAAUCCCGUGCAGCUAGGAUCGAUGCUAUCCAUGCGUGGCCCUGUAGCUAACCCGCAGCAGGUUGCAGUGACCAACACUGCGCGAAGUGGGCUUUGAGACCGUUCGCACCCUGCAAUGAAUUUUAGGACCUGUACUAGUCAAUAGUCAAUGAAGAACCUCGUUGGUAUGAAAGAUCAUCUUGGUGUUAGUGUUAUGUGAUAUGGCAUAGGGUGCCAAAUCCCUAGUUUAGUUGGUUAGUGGUUU
rnacentral:lncRNA from 1 species